AGCGAACGCUGGCGGCAGGCCUAACACAUGCAAGUCGAACGAACCUUUCGGGGUUAGUGGCGGACGGGUGAGUAACACGUGGGAACGUGCCUUUAGGUUCGGAAUAACACAGGGAAACUUGUGCUAAUACCGAAUGUGCCCUUCGGGGGCAAGAUUUAUCGCCGUUAGAGAGGCCCGCGUCUGAUUAGCUAGUUGGUUGAGGUAAUGGCUCACCAAGGCGACGAUCAGUAGCUGGUCUGAGAGGAUGAUCAGCCACAUUGGGACUGAGACACGGCCCAAACUCCUACGGGAGGCAGCAGUGGGGAAUCUUGCGCAAUGGGCGAAAGCCAGACGCAGCCAGGCCGCGUGAAUGAUGAAGGUCUUAGGAUUGUGAAAUUCUUUCACCGGGGACGAUAAUGACGGUACCCGGAGAAGAAGCCCCGGCUAACUUCGUG
rnacentral:rRNA from 1 species